GGUGUAGGCGGGUCUUUAAGUCGGGGGUGAAAUCCCAGGGCUCAACCCUGGAACUGCCCUCGAUACUGGAGACCUAGAGGUCGGGAGAGGUGAGUGGAAUUCCGAGUGUAGAGGUGAAAUUCGUAGAUAUUCGGAGGAACACCAGAGGCGAAGGCGACUCACUGGACCGAAUCUGACGCUGAGACCCGAAAGCGUGGGGAGCAAACA
rnacentral:rRNA from 1 species